rnacentral:rRNA from 1 species
UACGUAGGGUGCGAGCGUUGUCCGGAAUUAUUGGGCGUAAAGAGCUUGUAGGCGGUUUGUCGCGUCUGCUGUGAAAAUCCGGGGCUCAACCCCGGACUUGCAGUGGGUAAGGGCAGACUAGAGUGUGGUAGGGGAGACUGGAAUUCCUGGUGUAGCGGUGAAAUGCGCAGAUAUCAGGAGGAACACCAAUGGCGAAGGCAGCACUCUGGGACGUGACUGACGCUGAGACGCGAAAGCGUGGGGAGCAAACAGG